UACGUAGGUGGCAAGCGUUGUCCGGAAUUACUGGGUGUAAAGCGCGUGUAGGCGGAAGGCCAAGUCUGCUGUGAAAUCGCUCGGCUCAACUGGGCGGGGUCGGUGGAAACUGGUCACCUGGAGGACGGUAGAGGCGAGUGGAAUUCCCGGUGUAGUGGUGAAAUGCGUAGAGAUCGGGAGGAACACCAGUGGCGAAGGCGGCCCGCUGGGCAGUGACUGACGCUGAGGCGCGGCAGCGUGGGGAGCAAACAGG
rnacentral:rRNA from 1 species